ACGGGUGAGUAAUACAUAGGAAUUUGCCUUGAAGAGGGGGACAACCCGGGGGAACUCGGGCUAAUACCGCAUACUACUCUGAGGAGGAAAGGUUUGGUGAAAGCCAGACGCUUUAAGAGGAACCUAUGACUGAUUAGCUAGUUGGUGGGGUAAAGGCUCACCAAGGCGAAGAUCGGUAGCUGGUCUGAGAGGAUGAUCAGCCACACUGGGACUGAGACACGGCCCAGACUCCUACGGGAGGCAGCAGUGGGGAAUAUUGGACAAUGGGGGCAACCCUGAUCCAGCGAUGCCGCGUGUGUGAAGAAGGCCUUCGGGUUGUAAAGCACUUUAGGCGGGGAAGAAGGCGUAUGGUUGAAUAGGCCAUACGAUUGACGGUACCCGCGAAAUAAGCACCGGCUAACUCUGUGCCAGCAGCCGCGGUAAUACAGAGGGUGCGAGCGUUAAUCGGAGUGACUGGGCGUAAAGGGCGCGUAGGCGGUUUAUCAAGUGAGAUGUGAAAGCCCCGGGCUUAACCUGGGAAUGGCAUUUUAGACUGAUGAACUGGAGUGCAGUAGAGGGUAGCGGAAUUUCCGGUGUAGCG
rnacentral:rRNA from 1 species